CCUACGGGAGGCUGCAGUGAGGAAUAUUGGUCAAUGGGCGGAAGCCUGAACCAGCCAAGUCGCGUGAGGGAGUAAGGCCCUACGGGUCGUAAACCUCUUUUGCCGGGGAGCAGUGCCCAGCUCGUGAGCUGGGAGGGAGCGUACCCGGAGAAAAAGCAUCGGCUAACUCCGUGCCAGCAGCCGCGGUAAUACGGAGGAUGCGAGCGUUAUCCGGAUUUAUUGGGUUUAAAGGGUGCGUAGGCGGGCCUUCAGGCCAGCGGUCAAAUGUCGGUGCUCAACACCGGCCUGCCGUUGAAACUGGUCUUCUUGAGUGAGCGAGAAGUAGGCGGAAUGCGUGGUGUAGCGGUGAAAUGCAUAGAUAUCACGCAGAACUCCGAUUGCGAAGGCAGCAUACCGGCGCUCAACUGACGCUGAGGCACGAAAGCGUGGGGAUCGAACAGGAUUAGAUACCCUAGUAGUC
rnacentral:rRNA from 1 species